UACGUAGGGUGCGAGCGUUGUCCGGAUUUAUUGGGCGUAAAGAGCUCGUAGGCGGUUUGUCGCGUCGGCCGUGAAAUCUCCACGCUUAACGUGGAGCGUGCGGUCGAUACGGGCAGACUUGAGUUCGGUAGGGGAGACUGGAAUUCCUGGUGUAGCGGUGAAAUGCGCAGAUAUCAGGAGGAACACCGGUGGCGAAGGCGGGUCUCUGGGCCGAUACUGACGCUGAGACGCGAAAGCCAGGGGAGCAAACGGG
rnacentral:rRNA from 1 species